rnacentral:rRNA from 1 species
AUGCCCUCCUCCGUCACGGAGGAGGACGUGCUAAAGCUGCGGGAGGCCAAGUACCUGGCUUAUGAGAUUUCGCACAGGUUGCCUGCCGAAGGGCAGGCCAUCCCCACCCCCGAGCCCGGCGAGUAUGUCGUUUGUGUAUCCCACCUUCGUCGGGGUUUAGGCUUCCCGAUGGAUCCUUUUGUGAGAGGGCUCAUGUUUUACUAUGGGUUGGAAUUCCACGAUUUGGCUCCGGAGUCCAUCCUCCAUAUUUCCACAUUUAUUGUCGUCUGCGAAGCCUUCCUCCGCGUCACCCCUCACUUCGGCCUAUGGCUGAAGACCUUCAAUGUGGCGCCGAAGAUGAUCGGGAGGCGUCAAGCGGAGUGUGGCGGGGCGUCCAUAAGUAGGAGGGCCGAUGCCCCGUGGCCCGCUGGCUCCUUCCAAGAGGAGCUCGGCCCGUGGCAGCAAGAGUGGUUCUAUAUUACCGUUCCGAGGGGCCGCAGACAAAAGCCGCUGCCCUUAUUCCGCCCGGGACCUCCACGACGGUUGAUGUCGUGGAUCAACCAAGGGCUCAACUGGGGGCCGUCAAAGGACGUGCCCCUACUACAAGGCCGGAUUCGAGAUCUCCAAACGAGGGAGGUUGAUAUGGUGGUGGUAAUGCAGGUUAUGUUGAUCAGGCGUCUCCUGCCCUGCAAAUGCCACCCUCUCCGGCUGUGGGAGUUCAAUCCGGAGGGCCCACGGAUUCUUCAACACUUCAUGGGUAUGACACCCCUGGAGAUGUACAAAUUAUUCUUCGGAUCGCAAGAGGCGCGUCCGGAAUUGACCGAGGAUGCUGGCCUAAGCUACAAUCGCCUGGAUACUCAAGUAAGUAGUUCCAAGUCCGGACAUACCGUUUGUUUGCCUUUCGUUGAUUCGCCUUAUGACCAACUUCCUUCUAAACAGGAGUGGAUAGCAGAAGCAAAAUUGAUAUGGUGUCCGGCCCCCCUCCCCGAGACCGCGCCGGAUUCCAUGCUGGUCCGGAUGCUUGAGGUUGCGCCUCCAGAGGAAGGCGAAGGGGAAAGCAGGAAAGCUACUGCCUCGCCUAAGGAGGCUCUUGAAAGAGGGGGGGUCGAGAAUCCCUCCCUCCAAGGGAAGAAGAGGACUGCCUCCGAGGACCCGGGGGCAAAAGCCCCUAAACGGGGGAAGAAAUCUUCGCCAGAGGGUCCUGCGUCCGGGGAGGCCCCGGCCGCAUAA